AUUGAACGCUGGCGGCAGGCCUAACACAUGCAAGUCGAGCGGAGCGGCUGACGGGUGAGUAAUUCCUAGGAAUCUGCCUGGUAGUGGGGGAUAACGUCCGGAAACGGGCGCUAAUCUCACAUACUAUCAGAUGAGCCUAGAGCGGAUUAGCUAGUGGGUGGGGUAAAGGCCUACCAGGGGGACGAUCCGUAACUGGUCUGAGAGGAGGAUCAGUCAAACUGGAACUGUGAAACGCUCCAGACUCCUACGGGAGGCAGAAGUGGGGAACAUUGGAAAAUGGGCGAAGGCCGGCUCCAGACAUGCGGCGGGUGUGAAGAAGGUCUUCGGAUUGUAAAGCACGUUAAGUUGGGAGGCGGUACCAAAAGAAUAAGCAACGGCUAACUACGUGCCAGCAGCCGCGGUAAUUC
rnacentral:rRNA from 1 species